rnacentral:tRNA from 2 species
GCCGCCGUAGCUCAGCCCGGGAGAGCGCCCGGCUGAAGAGUAGAUGCACGCAGUGACCGGGUUGUCCGGGGUUCAAGUCCCCGCGGCGGCA